CCCUUAGAUGUUCUGGGCCGCACGCGCGCUACACUGACGGAGGCAGCGUGCGUGUCCUUCGCCGGCAGGUGCGGGCAAUCUUGCGAGUCUCCGUCGUGCUGGGGAUAGAUGGUUGCAAUUGUCGAUCUUGAACGAGGAAUUCCUAGUAAGCGCGAGUCAUCAGCUCGCGCUGAUUACGUCCCUGCCCUUUGUACACACCGCCCGUCGCUACUACAGAGUGCCCGUGUCCAAGAAACGGUCGGACCUGUGCGGCCUCUCCGGGCGACCGGAGGGCCGUUACGGGGAAGACCCUUUAUUUGACGCGGGUCGAUGAAGUAAAAGUCGUAACA
rnacentral:rRNA from 1 species